rnacentral:rRNA from 1 species
UUGCUACAGGCUUAACACAUGCAAGUCGAGGGGCAUCAGGAAGAAAGCUUGCUUUCUUUGCUGGCGACCGGCGCACGGGUGAGUAACACGUAUCCAACCUGCCCUUUACUCGGGGAUAGCCUUUCGAAAGAAAGAUUAAUACCCGAUAGCAUAAUGAUUCCGCAUGGUUUCAUUAUUAAAGGAUUCCGGUAAAGGAUGGGGAUGCGUUCCAUUAGGUUGUUGGUGAGGUAACGGCUCACCAAGCCUUCGAUGGAUAGGGGUUCUGAGAGGAAGGUCCCCCACAUUGGAACUGAGACACGGUCCAAACUCCUACGGGAGGCAGCAGUGAGGAAUAUUGGUCAAUGGGCGCUAGCCUGAACCAGCCAAGUAGCGUGAAGGAUGAAGGCUCUAUGGGUCGUAAACUUCUUUUAUAUAAGAAUAAAGUGCAGUAUGUAUACUGUUUUGUAUGUAUUAUAUGAAUAAGGAUCGGCUAACUCCGUGCCAGCAGCCGCGGUAAUACGGAGGAUCCGAGCGUUAUCCGGAUUUAUUGGGUUUAAAGGGAGCGUAGGUGGACUGGUAAGUCAGUUGUGAAAGUUUGCGGCUCAACCGUAAAAUUGCAGUUGAUACUGUCAGUCUUGAGUACAGUAGAGGUGGGCGGAAUUCGUGGUGUAGCGGUGAAAUGCUUAGAUAUCACGAAGAACUCCGAUUGCGAAGGCAGCUCACUGGACUGCAACUGACACUGAUGCUCGAAAGUGUGGGUAUCAAACAGGAUUAGAUACCCUGGUAGUCCACACAGUAAACGAUGAAUACUCGCUGUUUGCGAUAUACAGUAAGCGGCCAAGCGAAAGCAUUAAGUAUUCCACCUGGGGAGUGCGCCGGCAACGGUGAAACUCAAAGGAAUUGACGGGGGCCCGCACAAGCGGAGGAACAUGUGGUUUAAUUCGAUGAUACGCGAGGAACCUUACCCGGGCUUAAAUUGCAGUGGAAUGAUGUGGAAACAUGUCAGUGAGCAAUCACCGCUGUGAAGGUGCUGCAUGGUUGUCGUCAGCUCGUGCCGUGAGGUGUCGGCUUAAGUGCCAUAACGAGCGCAACCCUUAUCUUUAGUUACUAACAGGUCAUGCUGAGGACUCUAGAGAGACUGCCGUCGUAAGAUGUGAGGAAGGUGGGGAUGACGUCAAAUCAGCACGGCCCUUACGUCCGGGGCUACACACGUGUUACAAUGGGGGGUACAGAAGGCAGCUAGCGGGUGACCGUAUGCUAAUCCCAAAAGCCUCUCUCAGUUCGGAUCGAAGUCUGCAACCCGACUUCGUGAAGCUGGAUUCGCUAGUAAUCGCGCAUCAGCCACGGCGCGGUGAAUACGUUCCCGGGCCUUGUACACACCGCCCGUCAAGCCAUGGGAGCCGGGGGUACCUGAAGUACGUAACAGCAAGGAUCGUCCUAGGGUAAAACUGGUGACU